UACGGGGGGAGCAAGCGGUUGUUCGGAUUUACUGGGCGUAAAGGGCGCGGUAGGCGGUCGUGACAAGUCACGUUGUGAAAAUCUCCGGGGCUUAACUACGGAACGGUCAAGUGAUACUGUCGGACUAGAGUACAGAAGGGGGCAACUGGAAUUCUCGGUGUAGCGGUGAAAAUGCGUAGAUAUCGAGAGGAACACCUGCGGCGAAGGCGCUCUGCUAGGCCGCAACUGGACACUGAGGGACGAAAGCUAGGGGAGCGAAUGGG
rnacentral:rRNA from 1 species